rnacentral:rRNA from 1 species
GUGGGGAAUCUUGCGCAAUGGCCGAAAGGCUGACGCAGCGACGCCGCGUGUGGGAUGACGGCCUUCGGGUUGUAAACCACUGUCGGAAGGGACGAAUGGCCCGCAAGGGCAGUGACGGUACCUUCAAAGGAAGCACCGGCUAACUCCGUGCCAGCAGCCGCGGUAAUACGGAGGGUGCGAGCGUUGUCCGGAAUCACUGGGCGUAAAGGGCGCGUAGGCGGCCCGGUAAGUAGGGGGUGAAAUCUUGCGGCUUAACCGCAAGGCUGCCUUCUAGACUGCCAGGCUCGAGCACAGUAGAGGCAGGUGGAAUUCCCGGUGUAGCGGUGGAAUGCGUAGAGAUCGGGAAGAACAUCAGUGGCGAAGGCGGCCUGCUGGACUGUAGCUGACGCUGAGGCGCGACAGCGUGGGGAGCAAACAGGAUUAGAUACCCGUGUAGUCC